rnacentral:ncRNA from 1 species
GCUGUCGAAGGUGGAGCCGGUAACUGGGGUGAAGUCGUAACAAGGUAGCCGUAUCGGAAGGUGCGGCUGGAUCACCUCCUUU